CUGGGGUUGCAGCUCAGUGGUGGAGCACUUGCCUAGCAUGUGUGAGGCACUGGGUUCGAUUCUCAGUAUCACAUA
rnacentral:tRNA from 1 species